GACGAACCGUGCAAACGUUAUUCGGAAUCACUGGGCUUAAAGGGCGCGUAGGCGGGUAACCAAGUCCGGGGUGAAAGCCUCCAGCUUAACUGGAGAAGUGCCUCGGAUACUGGUCGUCUCGAGGAGGGUAGGGGCAUCUGGAACUAGCGGUGGAGCGGUGAAAUGCGUUGAUAUCGCUAGGAACUCCGGUGGCGAAGGCGAGGUGCUGGACCCUUUCUGACGCUGAGGCGCGAAAGCCAGGGGAGCGAACGGG
rnacentral:rRNA from 1 species